UACGGGGGGAGCAAGCGUUGUUCGGAUUUACUGGGCGUAAAGGGCGCGUAGGCGGUCGUGACAAGUCACUUGUGAAAUCUCCGGGCUUAACUCGGAACGGUCAAGUGAUACUGUCGGACUAGAGUACAGAAGGGGCAACUGGAAUUCUCGGUGUAGCGGUGAAAUGCGUAGAGCUCGGGAAGAACAUCGGUGGCGAAAGCGCUCUACUGGACGACAACUGACACUCAGGGACGAAAGCUAGGGGAGCGAAUGGG
rnacentral:rRNA from 1 species